rnacentral:rRNA from 1 species
UACGGGGGGGGCAAGCGUUGUUCGGGAAUUACUGGGCGUAAAGGGUGCGUAGGCGGCUUUCUAAGUUGGAUGUGAAAACUCUGGGCUCAACCCAGAGACUGCAUCCAAAACUGGAGAGCUUGGGUUCUGGAGGGGAAAGCGGGAAUUCCUGGUGUAGCGGUGAAAUGCGUAGAUAUCAGGAGGAACACCGGUGGCGAAGGCGGCUUUCUGGACA